GACGUGUUGGCAGAAUGGAUUAUGCAGCGGACUGCAAAUCCGCUUAUCCCGGUUCAAUUCCGGGACACGUCU
rnacentral:tRNA from 1 species